GCCGGAUUAGCUCAGUUGGUAGAGCAACUGAUUUGUAAUCAGUAGGUCGGGAGUUCGAGUCCCCCAUCCGGCACCA
rnacentral:tRNA from 12 species